GUAUUUUCAGAUCAUAUUGUUCGAUUAUAAUGUAUUUACAUAUCAGAUGCUCAUGUCAAUCAAGAAACAUUAUUCUGGAGCUGAUGAUGCUGAGGCGAUUUUUUUGAAUUUCCAGUCAAAUUUUUUAGGUCGUAAAGGAUAUUUGCCCCGUUGGCGCCUUUUUUAAACUCCAUUUUAAAAAAUAAAUACAGAAAAUAAAAGAAGCUACAAAUUUAUCAUUGAUUCAAGAAGCUAAAGAUUUAUUAUUGAUUCAAGAAGCUAAAGAUUUAAAAAUACAGAAAAUAAAAGAAAAGAUUUAUCAUUGAUUCAAGAAGCUAA